GGGUUGUGAGGUUAAGCGACUAAGCGUACACGGUGGAUGCCCUGGCAGUCAGAGGCGAUGAAGGGCGUGCUAAUCUGCGAUAAGCGCCGGUAAGGUGAUAUGAACCGUUAUAACCGGCGAUACCCGAAUGGGGAAACCCAGUGUGAUUCGUCACACUAUCAUUAACUGAAUCCAUAGGUUAAUGAGGCGAACCGGGGGAACUGAAACAUCUAAGUACCCCGAGGAAAAGAAAUCAACCGAGAUUCCCCCAGUAGCGGCGAGCGAACGGGGAGGAGCCCAGAGCCUGAAUCAGCAUGUGUGUUAGUGGAAGCGUCUGGAAAGGCGCGCGAUACAGGGUGACAGCCCCGUACACAAAAGCGCAUGUGCUGUGAGCUCGAUGAGUAGGGCGGGACACGUGGUAUCCUGUCUGAAUAUGGGGGGACCAUCCUCCAAGGCUAAAUACUCCUGACUGACCGAUAGUGAACCAGUACCGUGAGGGAAAGGCGAAAAGAACCCCGGCGAGGGGAGUGAAAAAGAACCUGAAACCGUGUACGUACAAGCAGUGGGAGCCCCACCACUAAGCCAGUGGUGAACUCCACAUACGCAUCCUUUGCUGAGGAUACGGUUAACGGAGCGAAAGCGACGUUCAACCUCAAAAGAAGCAGAGGGGGCUUAGUGGUGGGGUGACUGCGUACCUUUUGUAUAAUGGGUCAGCGACUUAUAUUCUGUAGCAAGGUUAACCGAAUAGGGGAGCCGGAGGGAAACCGAGUCUUAAU
rnacentral:rRNA from 1 species